GCCGAAAUGGUGGAAUAGGUAGACACAAGGGACUUAAAAUCCCUUGCUCGCAAGGGCGUACGGGUUCAAGUCCCGUUUUCGGCA
rfam:Sphaerochaeta globosa str. Buddy, complete genome.